GGUUAAGCGACUAAGCGUACACGGUGGAUGCCCUGGCAGUCAGAGGCGAUGAAGGACGUGCUAAUCUGCGAUAAGCGUCGGUAAGGUGAUAUGAACCGUUAUAACCGGCGAUUUCCGAAUGGGGAAACCCAGUGUGAUUCGUCACACUAUCAUUAACUGAAUCCAUAGGUUAAUGAGGCGAACCGGGGGAACUGAAACAUCUAAGUACCCCGAGGAAAAGAAAUCAACCGAGAUUCCCCCAGUAGCGGCGAGCGAACGGGGAGCAGCCCAGAGCCUGAAUCAGUGUGUGUGUUAGUGGAAGCGUCUGGAAAGGCGCGCGAUACAGGGUGACAGCCCCGUACACAAAAAUGCACAUGCUGUGAGCUCGAUGAGUAGGGCGGGACACGUGGUAUCCUGUCUGAAUAUGGGGGGACCAUCCUCCAAGGCUAAAUACUCCUGACUGACCGAUAGUGAACCAGUACCGUGAGGGAAAGGCGAAAAGAACCCCGGCGAGGGGAGUGAAAAAGAACCUGAAACCGUGUACGUACAAGCAGUGGGAGCACGCUUAGGCGUGUGACUGCGUACCUUUUGUAUAAUGGGUCAGCGACUUAUAUUCUGUAGCAAGGUUAACCGAAUAGGGGAGCCGAAGGGAAACCGAGUCUUAACUGGGCGUUAAGUUGCAGGGUAUAGACCCGAAACCCGGUGAUCUAGCCAUGGGCAGGUUGAAGGUUGGGUAACACUAACUGGAGGACCGAACCGACUAAUGUUGAAAAAUUAGCGGAUGACUUGUGGCUGGGGGUGAAAGGCCAAUCAAACCGGGAGAUAGCUGGUUCUCCCCGAAAGCUAUUUAGGUAGCGCCUCGUGAAUUCAUCUCCGGGGGUAGAGCACUGUUUCGGCAAGGGGGUCAUCCCGACUUACCAACCCGAUGCAAACUGCGAAUACCGGAGAAUGUUAUCACGGGAGACACACGGCGGGUGCUAACGUCCGUCGUGAAGAGGGAAACAACCCAGACCGCCAGCUAAGGUCCCAAAGUCAUGGUUAAGUGGGAAACGAUGUGGGAAGGCCCAGACAGCCAGGAUGUUGGCUUAGAAGCAGCCAUCAUUUAAAGAAAGCGUAAUAGCUCACUGGUCGAGUCGGCCUGCGCGGAAGAUGUAACGGGGCUAAACCAUGCACCGAAGCUGCGGCAGCGACGCUGAUGCGUUGUUGGGUAGGGGAGCGUUCUGUAAGCCUGUGAAGGUGUGCUGUGAGGCAUGCUGGAGGUAUCAGAAGUGCGAAUGCUGACAUAAGUAACGAUAAAGCGGGUGAAAAGCCCGCUCGCCGGAAGACCAAGGGUUCCUGUCCAACGUUAAUCGGGGCAGGGUGAGUCGACCCCUAAGGCGAGGCCGAAAGGCGUAGUCGAUGGGAAACAGGUUAAUAUUCCUGUACUUGGUGUUACUGCGAAGGGGGGACGGAGAAGGCUAUGUUGGCCGGGCGACGGUUGUCCCGGUUUAAGCGUGUAGGCUGGUUUUCCAGGCAAAUCCGGAAAAUCAAGGCUGAGGCGUGAUGACGAGGCACUACGGUGCUGAAGCAACAAAUGCCCUGCUUCCAGGAAAAGCCUCUAAGCAUCAGGUAACAUCAAAUCGUACCCCAAACCGACACAGGUGGUCAGGUAGAGAAUACCAAGGCGCUUGAGAGAACUCGGGUGAAGGAACUAGGCAAAAUGGUGCCGUAACUUCGGGAGAAGGCACGCUGAUAUGUAGGUGAAGUCCCUCGCGGAUGGAGCUGAAAUCAGUCGAAGAUACCAGCUGGCUGCAACUGUUUAUUAAAAACACAGCACUGUGCAAACACGAAAGUGGACGUAUACGGUGUGACGCCUGCCCGGUGCCGGAAGGUUAAUUGAUGGGGUCAGCGCAAGCGAAGCUCUUGAUCGAAGCCCCGGUAAACGGCGGCCGUAACUAUAACGGUCCUAAGGUAGCGAAAUUCCUUGUCGGGUAAGUUCCGACCUGCACGAAUGGCGUAAUGAUGGCCAGGCUGUCUCCACCCGAGACUCAGUGAAAUUGAACUCGCUGUGAAGAUGCAGUGUACCCGCGGCAAGACGGAAAGACCCCGUGAACCUUUACUAUAGCUUGACACUGAACAUUGAGCCUUGAUGUGUAGGAUAGGUGGGAGGCUUAGAAGUGUGGACGCCAGUCUGCAUGGAGCCGACCUUGAAAUACCACCCUUUAAUGUUUGAUGUUCUAACGUUGACCCGUAAUCCGGGUUGCGGACAGUGUCUGGUGGGUAGUUUGACUGGGGCGGUCUCCUCCUAAAGAGUAACGGAGGAGCACGAAGGUUGGCUAAUCCUGGUCGGACAUCAGGAGGUUAGUGCAAUGGCAUAAGCCAGCUUGACUGCGAGCGUGACGGCGCGAGCAGGUGCGAAAGCAGGUCAUAGUGAUCCGGUGGUUCUGAAUGGAAGGGCCAUCGCUCAACGGAUAAAAGGUACUCCGGGGAUAACAGGCUGAUACCGCCCAAGAGUUCAUAUCGACGGCGGUGUUUGGCACCUCGAUGUCGGCUCAUCACAUCCUGGGGCUGAAGUAGGUCCCAAGGGUAUGGCUGUUCGCCAUUUAAAGUGGUACGCGAGCUGGGUUUAGAACGUCGUGAGACAGUUCGGUCCCUAUCUGCCGUGGGCGCUGGAGAACUGAGGGGGGCUGCUCCUAGUACGAGAGGACCGGAGUGGACGCAUCACUGGUGUUCGGGUUGUCAUGCCAAUGGCACUGCCCGGUAGCUAAAUGCGGAAGAGAUAAGUGCUGAAAGCAUCUAAGCACGAAACUUGCCCCGAGAUGAGUUCUCCCUGACCCUUUAAGGGUCCUGAAGGAACGUUGAAGACGACGACGUUGAUAGGCCGGGUGUGUAAGCGCAGCGAUGCGUUGAGCUAACCGGUACUAAUGAACCGUGAGGCUUAACCUU
rnacentral:rRNA from 1 species